AUGCAAGGGAAUGACAGGAGUCUCCCCUUUUUUGCACUGACCUCAAAGGACAAGACCAACAGGUUGCAGUGUAUAGUGACCUUAUCUUUCUUCCUGUACAGGUCAGAGGUGCCCUUUCAGCAAACAUCUGUGAAUAAAUGUCCUGCACAGACUGGGAGCUUAAUGCUGACACCUCACAUGGAAGAAAGUACCUGUAAAUGUCUGUCUCAGAUGGACAGUGCUGCUCAUCCCCAUCAUCCCUCUCUCACUUGUGCUUCUCUCCCCCCAUGGACACAGGACAUGCACCGAGCUGGGCAGAGGCCAGAGCUGUGGUCUCCUGCAUCUUUCAUGUCCCACAUGAGAGCUGGCUCAGAAGAGAGAGGAGGUCAGCCUGCCAAUGGUCACAAAGGAGCCCAUUCUCAAGACUCUCAACAGAAUUCCGUGGAGAAGUUGCCACCAAAUUUGCAGCCACAUUUGCUGUCAUCUGAAGACUUGAUGGGAAAAAGGAGUCACCAGACUGCAGGUACAUCCUCAGAUCCAAACUGUAGCAAUUGCUCAUGCUCCUCUCUGAUCUGUGUGAGACUGCAAGUCACUGCCACAAAAUGUAUGGGAGAGAGGGCAACCUUGUGUGCCAGCAUGAGGAGGUAAAGGGUACCAGUACUCCCUUCUGGGAAGGUAACUGCAGUUGGGUGGAUUCUGUGAGUCUGGGGGCUAAAGCCCUGCUCUAGGCAUUGAAGGAUGGGAGCAGCUUGAACAUUCUUUUAGCAAGAAUGUGCUCAGGUGUUGGGGUGUUCACAUGUACAGCAGAACUUGCUUCAGGAGGGAAGUUCAUCCUGUAGAGCUCUCUGAGAUUUCCCUGUACUUACAGCAUGGCUGUAAAGGGGACAGGUGGUGUCUAAGCACCUCCCUUUGUGGUGUUUUAAAUUACAUCAGAGCAUGACAUUUGUUCUGCAGGACUACUGCACUUAAUUACUUCUAGACUAAAUGUGAAAGACUAAAUUCUGAACAGGCCAAAACAGUAUCUGUAGUACUGAACCAUCCACCAGAGCAUUUUGUAUCUUUUAUGUGUUCAGACUGAGUCUUCAAGAGCUUGUUCUGUUGUCAGAACUCCUGCUCUCUCACUGGAGGGCCUGAUCCUUUGGGGUGAACAGGUACAUGGCAAAGGGUAACCAAAUACAUGAAAAGCAGUUGGGAGGGUUCCUUUUUCCCUGUCAUUAAAAAUAUUUUCUGGUUUUUUGUAAGAAGAGUGGAUGUCUGUUCUACUUCCAUUGCUUGUGCCUUUUAUCUUCCAUUCAGCUGAAGGGGAAAAGAGGGAGCACAGUUCCAGAGAAGAAAUGAUGUUGGAGAGAAAGGUGGAAGUUGAACUCUGGCAUAUCCAGCAGCAGAUGCAGUACUACUACAGCAGGAAGCAGGAGCUCAAGUAAUGCCCCUUUAGCCAGCCUCUCUUCAUGUUGUCCACUCUGUUGCACUUUUUCUGUAUAUCUACCCUAGAAAUAAUCAGUCUGCUCACA
rnacentral:lncRNA from 1 species